rnacentral:tRNA from 1 species
CGUAGCUCAGCUGGAUAGAGUACCUGACUACGAAUCAGGGGGUCGGAGGUUCGAAUCCAGGAUUCGAACCUACGACCA